GACGAACGCUGGCGGCGUGCCUAAUACAUGCAAGUAGAACGCUGAAGAGAGGAGCUUGCUCUUCUUGGAAGAGUUGCGAACGGGUGAGUAACGCGUAGGUAACCUGCCUUGUAGCGGGGGAUAACUAUUGGAAACGAUAGCUAAUACCGCAUAACAAUGGGUGACCCAUGUCAUUCAUUUGAAAGGGGCAACUGCUCCACUACAAGAUGGACCUGCGUUGUAUUAGCUAGUAGGUGAGGUAACGGCUCACCUAGGCGACGAUACAUAGCCGACCUGAGAGGGUGAUCGGCCACACUGGGACUGAGACACGGCCCAGACUCCUACGGGAGGCAGCAGUAGGGAAUCUUCGGCAAUGGGGGCAACCCUGACCGAGCAACGCCGCGUGAGUGAAGAAGGUUUUCGGAUCGUAAAGCUCUGUUGUAAGUCAAGAACGUGUGUGAGAGUGGAAAGUUCACACUGUGACGGUAGCUUACCAGAAAGGGACGGCUAACUACGUGCCAGCAGCCGCGGUAAUACGUAGGUCCCGAGCGUUGUCCGGAUUUAUUGGGCGUAAAGCGAGCGCAGGCGGUUUGAUAAGUCUGAAGUUAAAGGCUGUGGCUCAACCAUAGUUCGCUUUGGAAACUGUCAAACUUGAGUGCAGAAGGGGAGAGUGGAAUUCCAUGUGUAGCGGUGAAAUGCGUAGAUAUAUGGAGGAACACCGGUGGCGAAAGCGGCUCUCUGGUCUGUAACUGACGCUGAGGCUCGAAAGCGUGGGGAGCGAACAGG
rnacentral:rRNA from 1 species